AGAGAAGCCGUUUUUUCCAGGAGUCUGCAAACUUGAGCGAUCCCAUCGGUAUCAAGCCCAUUGACCAGAGUCUUGGACUGAAAGAGAAUCUGCUGUAAAAAUCCACCGACUAAACUUAGACGACCGCUAUGCAGCGCGUCUGUUUGAAGAUUCAAAGGUCUCAGAGGGAAGCAUGGGCACCAAUCAGCAGCUCUUCUCCCCCGCCCGGCCUUCAGAGAGCCUGGCACAGCAACACAGGAAGCUCUGAGCUCCCGUCUCUGCCUGGUGUGAGGUCUCUGCAAGUGGAAUGCAGCUCAGUCGGACGGCGAUAAGGAGACUGAGCCACGCAGCCACGGUCAAUCUGUAGCAGCGAUGAAAUCCACUGGUCAAAAACCUGCCUCUGGAAGUUUAAAUAUGAACCAAAGCAGAGAUCUUCAUGUCUGACUCCACUGGCUUCGUCAUCCUUUUAGAACAAACUGAUGCCAGCCCUGCC